rnacentral:rRNA from 1 species
UAAGGAACAUGACCUUCGGCGGGGGAUAGCCGGCCCAACGGCCGGGUAAUACCGCGUACGACCUUUCGGGGACAUCCCUGGAUGGUGAAAGCAGCAAUGCGCCGAUGGAGUGCCUCGCGGCCUAUCAGCUAGUUGGUGAGGUAACGGCUCACCAAGGCAACGACGGGUANCUGGU